rnacentral:misc_RNA from 1 species
GAUGAAGAACGUAGCGAAAUGCGAUACUUGGUGUGAAUUGCAGAAUCCCGUGAACCAUCGAGUCUUUGAACGCAAGUUGCGCCCGAAGCCACUAGGCCGAGGGCACGCCUGCCUGGGCGUCACACGCCGUUGCCCCCCCAUCUACUCCUUCGGGAUUGCGGGGGGGCGUAUGAUGGCCUCCCGUGCGCCUAGCCGCGCGGUUGGCAUAAAUACCAAGUCCUCGGCGACGCACGCCACGACAAUCGGUGGUUGCGAAACCUCGGUUGCCCGUCGUGUGCGUUCGUCGCGCAUCGAGGGCUCGAAAAAAUGCUCGGCUCCGGCUGGGCUUUCAACGCGACCCCAGGUCAGGCGGGGUUACCCGCUGAAUUUAAGCAUAUCAAUAAGCGGAGGA